AUGGGGGUUAUCAGGAGGCUUUUGAACGAAUUAAGGGUAUCAAUCCUAAAGCGAGAAAUACAACCACCUGACGCCGUUGCAGAUCUUUUUAUUUCCCCAGAUCCUCCUCGAAAUGUUUCUCUUUUGGCUGCUCCUCUAGGUUUGCAUGUGGAUCUCGGUUCUCGCCCCAGCCCCUCCCGCAAUCGUCGUGAUUCACUCUUCAACAAUGAUUGGAUGUUUUUGCUAAUAUUUUUGGGCAGGAGUUGUGAGGGGAUUGAAAAACCUAGCGCAUUCUUCUAG